rnacentral:tRNA from 1 species
CCUGAUAGCUCAGUUGGUAAAGAAUCUGCCUGCAACGCAGAAGACCCUGGUUCAAUUCCUGGGUCAGGA